rnacentral:rRNA from 1 species
AUGACCCGUCGAGAAGCCUUUUGCAGACACUGGAUCGUGGUCUGGGGCCCCGCGCAGGAUGUCGCAUCCGACCGCGUCAUGGCCACCGUGCUCGACGCCGAGAAGCCUGAUUUCGUGGUGUACCUCGGCGACCUCGUGACAGCCAACAACGUGCCGAUCCCCAACGCCACCCUGUACUGGGACAUGGCGAUUUCUCAUUCCCGGCGCAGGGGCAUCCCGUGGUCCACCGUGUUCGGCAACCACGACGACAUGCCCUUCGAGUGGCCGCCUGAGUGGUUCUCCACGGCCGGCAUCCCGCCGGUGCACUGCCCGCCUGCGGCGUCCAUGCCAACCUCAGAGUGCAGCUUCAGAGGGACGCCGCGGAUCGACCUGAUGACGGCUGAAAUGAACCGCGACGGUGCCGACGGGUUAUCGCGCUCGUCGGUCGGCCCCCAGGAGCUCUGGCCCGGCAUCUCCAACUACGUGCUGCGGGUGCUCUCGCAUGAGAAGCAACCAGACCCUGCUCUGCUCAUGUAUUUCCUCGACUCCGGCGGUGGAUCGUACCCGGAAGUCAUAUCCUCUGCACAGGUCCGGUGGUUCUGCUACCAGUCUCAGUCCCUCAAUCCAGAUGGCAGGAUUCCAGAGAUCAUCUUCUGGCACAUACCGAGCACAGCAUACGUCAAGGUGGCUCCAAAGGCCAAGACUGAGAUAACAAAGCCCUGCGUUGGCUCCCUGAAUGAGGAAGAUGUGGCGCCACAGGUAGCCGAAUGGGGCAUGAUGGACGCUCUUGCCAAGAGAUCUUCAGUUAAGGCGAUCUUCGUGGGGCACAACCACGGGCUGGACUGGUGCUGCCCGUACGAGAAACUGUGGUUGUGUUUCGCGCGGCACACGGGUCACGGCGGAUAUGGUGACUGGCCAAGAGGGGCAAGGAUCGUUGAGAUUGCCGAGAAGCCUUUCUCUGUCCGCUCCUGGAUACGGAUGGAGAACGGGAGCACGCACAGCCAUAUUACAUUGUCUUGA